AUACGGUGAAACUGCGAAUGGCUCAUUAAAUCAGUUAUCGUUUAUUUGAUAGUACCUUACUACAUGGAUACCUGUGGUAAUUCUAGAGCUAAUACAUGCUAAAAACCUCGACUUCGGAAGGGGUGUAUUUAUUAGAUAAAAAACCAAUGCCCUUCGGGGCUCCUUGGUGAAUCAUAAUAACUUAACGAAUCGCAUGGCCUUGCGCCGGCGAUGGUUCAUUCAAAUUUCUGCCCUAUCAACUUUCGAUGGUAGGAUAGUGGCCUACCAUGGUGGCAACGGGUAACGGGGAAUUAGGGUUCGAUUCCGGAGAGGGAGCCUGAGAAACGGCUACCACAUCCAAGGAAGGCAGCAGGCGCGCAAAUUACCCAAUCCCGACACGGGGAGGUAGUGACAAUAAAUACUGAUACGGGGCUCUUUUGGGUCUCGUAAUUGGAAUGAGUACAAUCUAAAUCCCUUAACGAGGAACAAUUGGAGGGCAAGUCUGGUGCCAGCAGCCGCGGUAAUUCCAGCUCCAAUAGCGUAUAUUAAAGUUGUUGCAGUUAAAAAGCUCGUAGUUGAACCUUGGGUCUGGCUGGCCGGUCCGCCUCACCGCGAGUACUGGUCCGGCUGGACCUUUCCUUCUGGGGAACCUCAUGGCCUUCACUGGCUGUGGGGGGAACCAGGACUUUUACUGUGAAAAAAUUAGAGUGUUCAAAGCAGGCCUUUGCUCGAAUACAUUAGCAUGGAAUAAUAGAAUAGGACGUGCGGUUCUAUUUUGUUGGUUUCUAGGACCGCCGUAAUGAUUAAUAGGGAUAGUCGGGGGCGUCAGUAUUCAGCUGUCAGAGGUGAAAUUCUUGGAUUUGCUGAAGACUAACUACUGCGAAAGCAUUCGCCAAGGAUGUUUUCAUUAAUCAGGGAACGAAAGUUAGGGGAUCGAAGACGAUCAGAUACCGUCGUAGUCUUAACCAUAAACUAUGCCGACUAGGGAUCGGGCGGUGUUUCUAUGAUGACCCGCUCGGCACCUUACGAGAAAUCAAAG
rnacentral:rRNA from 1 species